rnacentral:rRNA from 1 species
UACAGAGGGCUCAAGCGUUGUUCGGAUUCAUUGGGCGUAAAGGGUGCGUAGGUGGCGGGGUAAGUCAGGUGUGAAAUUUCGGAGCUUAACUCCGAAACUGCAUUUGAUACUGCCUUGCUUGAGGACUGGAGAGGAGACUGGAAUUCACGGUGUAGCAGUGAAAUGCGUAGAGAUCGUGAGGAAGACCAGUGGCGAAGGCGGGUCUCUGGACAGUGCCUGACACUGAGGCACGAAGGCCAGGGGAGCAAACGGG